rnacentral:rRNA from 1 species
GACGAACGCUGGCGGCGUGCCUAAUACAUGCAAGUUGAGCGCUGAAGGUUGGUACUUGUACCAACUGGAUGAGCAGCGAACGGGUGAGUAACGCGUGGGGAAUCUGCCUUUGAGCGGGGGACAACAUUUGGAAACGAAUGCUAAUACCGCAUAAAAACUUUAAACACAAGUUUUAAGUUUGAAAGAUGCAAUUGCAUCACUCAAAGAUGAUCCCGCGUUGUAUUAGCUAGUUGGUGAGGUAAAGGCUCACCAAGGCGAUGAUACAUAGCCGACCUGAGAGGGUGGUCGGCCACAUUGGGACUGGGACACGGCCCAAACUCCUACGGGAGGCAGCCGUAGGGGAUCUUCGGCAAUGGACGAAAGUCUGACCGAGCAACGCCGCGUGAGUGAAGAAGGUUUUCGGAUCGUAAAACUCUGUUGGUAGAGAAGAACGUUGGUGAGAGUGGAAAGCUCAUCAAGUGACGGUAACUACCCAGAAAGGGACGGCUAACUACGUG